UGGGGAAUAUUGCACAAUGGAGGGAACUCUGAUGCAGCGACGCCGCGUGAAGGAUGAAGUAUUUCGGUAUGUAAACUUCUAUCAGCAGGGAAGAAAAUGACGGUACCUGACUAAGAAGCCCCGGCUAACUACGUGCCAGCAGCCGCGGUAAUACGUAGGGGGCAAGCGUUAUCCGGAUUUACUGGGUGUAAAGGGAGCGUAGACGGCUUGGCAAGCCAGAUGUGAAAGCCCGGGGCUCAACCCCGGGACUGCAUUUGGAACUGCCAUGCUAGAGUGUCGGAGAGGCAAGUGGAAUUCCUAGUGUAGCGGUGAAAUGCGUAGAUAUUAGGAGGAACACCAGUGGCGAAGGCGGCUUGCUGGACGAUGACUGACGUUGAGGCUCGAAAGCGUGGGGAGCAAACAGG
rnacentral:rRNA from 2 species